AGAUAAACAGGUGCUCCAGCACUUCCAGUCAAGGUAAACACUGAGGCAAGGACUGUUCCAUUCCUAAUCACUGAUGGUUUGACUUCAUUUCAGCACCUAGGUUGAUGUAGGGCGAAAAUGAGGCGAAGUAUUGUGUGAUGUGUUAUAAGGAUUUUUAGAUGAUCAAUCAAAUUAAUAAAUAGCUGACUACAGAUGGUUGAGUCUCAUCACCGCCUGCUGUAGAUGCAGCCAAACUAUAGCUUUCCACGGUUGUGCUCCCAUGGUUGCAAAUUUCCGAGUCACACUGCCAACCACAGAACCAGAUACAAGAACAUAAACAGAAUGGGGAAAAGGAGGAAAAUCAUCUGACGUAACUUCACACGACUGAAAACGAUGUCAUACUCACAGACCCAGGAUACAGGGAAAAUUGAGUAAUUAUCAAAAUAAGAUCAACUUACCCAGGCAUUGGGAAUUCCAACGUUGCGACUUCUUCUAAAAUGAACAAGAGAUCACGGCCAGAUCUGCAAAAAUGGACCAGAACCUAUUUCAGAAUAUAUAGAAAUGACUGCUGCAUUGACUCAGGUACGGCAUCAGUUACCAGCUGACCUUGAUUGAGGCGCAACUAUAGUGGCUUUCAGUGCCUUAAAGUAUCGAGUACCAAAAAAAUAUAAGCUCCUUUACAAACUGAUCGGUGCCUCAGAUACACAGGGCAUAUUAAGAUAUCUCCAACAAAUGAAUGUGUUGCAGUUUCCAAAUGAUACAUGCCUACAAGGAUGAAUUGCCAGCGUGAAGGAAGUUGAAAUUUGUGCUGACGGAUAUUGACUGAUCAUCAGGUUUAAUCCCUUUCUUUUCAGUUCGUGGUGAGGUGAUACACGAAAAGGAAAAUAGGAGAGUGAUGAUGUUAGAGGCUAUAUCAAGAUGGUGGUAAAAGUAACAUCCUAAACUGAAACUAUCAAAGAAAAUGUUGUACAUCAACAGACUCGGCAUCGAGGUGUUAAAUAAGUUUUCUACUAAUCCUAACAAAGAAAAAGUAAGGAAAUUUUGUGUACCUUGGAAUCCAGGUGUGUUAGAAGGUGUGCUCAGGAUAUCAACCCACUUAUUUCUUUGAAACUAAACUGGCACCUCACCCAUUUUCCUAAAAAGGAAGUUUGAGUAGGUGUCUUUCGCCAUUUGUUUUUCAGUAAAAUAAAAAUAUAAACAGUGUAAAAGCAGCUGGUGGAAUACCAUUACCAACUUAGAAAAAUAUUCACUGGCAAUAGAUAAUGAUUAAGCAGCUUAUUAAUUUUUUCAACAAAUAUAAGUAUGAACUUUUUUUGUAAGAAUGUGUUCUCAGUGAUUUUUUUACGAAGGUAGAUUGGAUUAAAGAAUCUUUCAUCAUUGUCAUACUAAUCAAUAGACAAAUUAUGAAAAUUAAUGAGACUGGUACCUCUGCGUGAAAGUAGCCCAAUCUGCGGCGCGGGAAUUUUAACUGAUUAGACUAUUUUGCAAUCUUUCUGAGAUGAAUGAAAAUUCUUAGUAGCUGGAGUAUAACUAUUUAGUCUGCGGCACAGUUCGUUAUUCAUGCCAAGGGGAGGGUCUAGAAUUCUAAAUCAUAAUGAGCAAGAAUGAAUGGAUGACCAUAUUCAAUUCAAUAUAUAUUGAAGUAAAAUAAAUAAAUUGUUUGCUUUCUCUGACAAUUAAGGGCAGAGAAAUUUCGAUCAGUACCUAGACCCAUUUCACCCAUUGAGUAUUUUUGAUGGUAGAGUAUUUCAGAGGACAUCCGAGAGCCGAGGAAGCCCAGUAAAACUGAAAUAUUUUUAAAAUAAUUAUGUAUUUAUAUUUUAAAGAUAUUGAAUAUAAUUGAAGUCUCUAGGUACUACCUUUUGGUCGU